rnacentral:rRNA from 1 species
ACGGGUGAGUAACACGUGGGUAAUCUGCCCUGCACUCUGGGAUAAGCCUUGGAAACGGGGUCUAAUACCGGAUAUCACUUCCCUGGGCAUCCAGGGUUGUUGAAAGUUCUGGCGGUGCAGGAUGAACCCGCGGCCUAUCAGCUUGUUGGUGGGGUAGUGGCCUACCAAGGCGACGACGGGUAGCCGGCCUGAGAGGGUGACCGGCCACACUGGGACUGAGACACGGCCCAGACUCCUACGGGAGGCAGCAGUGGGGAAUAUUGCACAAUGGGCGCAAGCCUGAUGCAGCGACGCCGCGUGAGGGAUGACGGCCUUCGGGUUGUAAACCUCUUUCGCCAGGGACGAAGCGCAAGUGACGGUACCUGGAUAAGAAGCACCGGCUAACUACGUGCCAGCAGCCGCGGUAAUACGUAGGGUGCGAGCGUUGUCCGGAUUUAUUGGGCGUAAAGAGCUCGUAGGCGGUUUGUCGCGUCGGCCGUGAAAUCUCCACGCUUAACGUGGAGCGUGCGGUCGAUACGGGCAGACUUGAGUUCGGUAGGGGAGACUGGAAUUCCUGGUGUAGCGGUGAAAUGCGCAGA